rnacentral:rRNA from 1 species
UAACGCGAAGAACCUUACCAGGUCUUGACAUCCUUUGAAGCUUUUAGAGAUAGAAGUGUUCUCUUCGGAGACAAAGUGACAGGUGGUGCAUGGUCGUCGUCAGCUCGUGUCGUGAGAUGUUGGGUUAAGUCCCGCAACGAGCGCAACCCUUAUUGUUAGUUGCCAGCAUUCAGUUGGGCACUCUAGCGAGACUACCGGUGACAAACCGGAGGAAGGCGGGGACGACGUCAGAUCAUCAUGCCCCUUAUGACCUGGGCUACACACGUGCUACAAUGGCGUAUACAACGAGUUGCCAGCCCGCGAGGGUGAGCUAAUCUCUUAAAGUACGUCUCAGUUCGGAUUGUAGUCUGCAACUCGACUACAUGAAGUCGGAAUCGCUAGUAAUCGCGGAUCAGC